UGUAUAAUUAUUAAAGUUUGAUUCUUACUUAGAAUUUUAGGUUUAUAAAAAUUUACAUGUAAGUUUUAGCGUGAAGAAUUUUAAAUAUUAUGAUUUAUAUAUUAAAUAGAAGUAUAGUCGCAGUGUUUAAUAUUAAGUGUUAAAUUAUUUUAGAUAUAAUUUUGUAAAAAUUAAUUGGUUAAAUUCGUGCCAGCAGCCGCGGUUAUACGUAAAAUUAUAUUAAAAUUUAUUGGUUAAAAAUGAAUUAUAUUAUAAAUAAUUAAGAAGUGGUGUAUAAUUGUUAGAUUUAAUGAAGUAAAAUUCGUAUAUUGUGAAAUUUAUAUAUUGUGUUAUUUUUAAUAAUUUAUAAAAGUUAGAAUAUUAAUAGACUAGGAUUAGAUACCCUAUUAUUCUAAAAUUAAAGAAUAAAUACCUGGGUAGUAAAAUAUAUUUAAACCUAAAGAAUUUGGCGGUAUUUUAUUUUAAUCAGAGGAACCUGUUCCGUAAUCGACAAUCCUCGUUAAAUCUUUCUUAAUUUUGUAUUUAAUCAUUUUGUAUACCGUUGUCGUCAGAAUAUUCUUUUAGGAUAAAUUUUCUAAUUAUUGUGAGAUUUAAUGUCAGAUCAAGGUGCAGACUAUAAUUAAGUGGAAAUAGGUUACAUUAAAAAUAAUUAUUUAUGUGAAUUGUAAAGUUUAAUUUUUAUAUGAAAUUGGAUUUGAUUGUAAUAAUUAAAUAAAUAGAGUUGUUAUGAAAUUAACCCUAAAAUAUGUACAUAUCGCCCGUCACUCUCUUUAAUGUAAUGAGAAAAGUCGUAACAUAGUAGAUGUACUGGAAGGUGUAUCUAGAAUUAAGGUA
rnacentral:ncRNA from 1 species